AUUGAACGCUGGCGGCAGGCCUAACACAUGCAAGUCGGGCGCGCGGCGGACGGGUGAGUAAUGUAUGGGGAUCUGCCUGAUGGAGGGGGAUAACUACUGGCAACGGUAGCUACUACCGCAUACCAUCAGCUGAACCCAUAUGGGAUUAGCUUGUCGGUGAGUUAACGGCUCACCUAGGCGACGAUCCCUAGCUGGUCUGAGAGGAUGAUCAGCCACACGGGGACUUAUACAAGGACCAGACGCCUACGGGAGGCAGCAGUGGGGAAUAUUGCACAAUGGGCGCAAGCCUGAUGCAGCCAUGCAGCGUGUAUGAAGAAGGCCUUCGGGUAGUAAAGUACGUUCAGUCGGGAUGCGUUACCGACAGAAGAAGCACCGGCUAACUCCGUGCCAGCAGCCGCGGUAAUUC
rnacentral:rRNA from 1 species